ACGUAGGGAGCGAGCGUUGUCCGGAUUUACUGGGUGUAAAGGGUGCGUAGGCGGCUAGACAAGUCAGGUGUGAAAUACCGCAGCUCAACUGCGGGGCUGCACUUGAAACUGUAGAGCUUGAGUGAUGGAGAGGUAAGCGGAAUUCCUAGUGUAGCGGUAAAAUGCGUAGAUAUUAGGAGGAACACCAGUGGCGAAGGCGGCUUACUGGACAUUAACUGACGCUGAGGCACGAAAGCGUGGGGAGCAAACAG
rnacentral:rRNA from 1 species